rnacentral:rRNA from 1 species
AUUGAACGCUGGCGGCGUGCUUAACACAUGCAAGUCGAGCGGUAAGGCCCUUUCGGGGGUAUACGAGCGGCGAACGGGUGAGUAACACGUGAGCAACCUGCCCUUCUCUUUGGAAUAAGCGUUGGAAACGACGUCUAAUGCCGAAUAUGACCCCCUGUCGCAUGGUGGGGGGUGGAAAGCUCUGGCGGAGAAGGAUGGGCUCGCGGCCUAUCAGCUUGUUGGUGUGGGUAAUGGCCCACCAAGGCGACGACGGGUAGCCGGCCUGAGAGGGUGACCGGCCACACUGGGACUGAGACACGGCCCAGACUCCUACGGGAGGCAGCAGUGGGGAAUAUUGGACAAUGGGCGAAAGCCUGAUCCAGCAACGCCGCGUGAGGGAUGACGGCCUUCGGGUUGUAAACCUCUUUCAGCAGGGACGAAGCGAGAGUGACGGUACCUGCAGAAGAAGGACCGGCCAACUACGUGCCAGCCGCCGCCGUAACAC